AUGGAGGACGGCCGCCGCCGCAAGAGUGCCCAGAGGGAAACCACGCCGGCAACCAAGAUCGAUGCCCUCACGGACGAUCUUCUCGAGCUCGUGUUCCUGCGCCUCCCCUUGCAUCGCCACCUCGUCUACGCGGCGUGCACGUGCCGGCGCUGGCGCCGCGUGAUCGCGGGCGACGUCGGACGCUUCCUUCUCCGGUUCAUCUCGCUCCGCGGCCUGUCGCCAGCCCACUUCUCCGGCCACUACCGCGUCGACGAGCGCCACCGGCACCCGCGUCCGCCCGGCGGCAACCCCGUCUUCGUCCCCUCCUCCUCGCGGUGGGUGGCCGCCGCCGUCGCGCGGAACCUCGCGCUCGACUUCCUCCCGCGGCCGGGACUGGCGGGUCGCUGCUGGGAGCUCGCCGACUUUUGGGACGGUCUCCUGCUCUUGCUGCUCCUAGACAAGGAGACAAAUUGGUCGCCGGCGUAUGCCCUGGUCGUCUGCGAUCCGCUCACGGGGCGCUACAUCACCGUCCCGCCCUCGGCGUGGUUCCAGGGCUGCGGUUGCCUGGGCGCCUUCCUCCUCCACGGCGAGGAUGCGGGCGUGCGCAUCAGCCUGUCCAACUUCAGGGUGACGUGCGCGGUCUAUCGCCCUGGGGACGGCGUCGCCAGGGCCUGCGCGUUCUCGUCCGCCGGCGGCGGCCGCUGGACCUCCGGCGCCGCACGUAGCAGCAUGGCAGUCUACGGCGACCAGUUCGGAAGCGGGUGGGGGCUGGGCCCCUUCCACUUCGCAGGGAGCACCUACCGGUUCGCCUACUGGACGGUGGGAGACGGCAUCGUGCUCGCUCUGGACAAGAAGGCCGCCGAGUUCUCCUUUUCCGUCGGGCUGGACGAGUCGAAGUACGCCGCGCUCGAGGACAAUCGACACAUCGCCGAGUACGCCUACUAG
rnacentral:rRNA from 1 species